rnacentral:rRNA from 1 species
ACGCUGGCGGCGUGCCUAACACAUGCAAGUCGAACGGGGUCAGUUGCUUCGGUGAUUGACUUAGUGGCGAACGGGUGAGUAACGCGUGAGGAACCUGCCUUUCAGUGGGGGACAACAGUUGGAAACGACUGCUAAUACCGCAUAAUGUUAUUUGGGGGCAUCCCUGAAUAACCAAAGCUUUAUGUGCUGAAAGAUGGUCUCGCGUCUGAUUAGCUAGAUGGCGGGGUAACGGCCCACCAUGGCGACGAUCAGUAGCCGGACUGAGAGGUUGAACGGCCACAUUGGGACUGAGACACGGCCCAGACUCCUACGGGAGGCAGCAGUGGGGAAUAUUGGGCAAUGGGCGAAAGCCUGACCCAGCAACGCCGCGUGAGGGAAGAAGGGUUUCGGCUCGUAAACCUCUGUCCUAUGGGACGAAGAAGUGACGGUACCAUAGGAGGAAGCCCCGGCUAACUACGUG